rnacentral:misc_RNA from 1 species
UGGUUCUGGCAUCGAUGAAGAACGCAGCGAAAUGCGAUAAGUAAUGUGAAUUGCAGAAUUCAGUGAAUCAUCGAAUCUUUGAACGCACAUUGCACCAGUUAGUAUUCUAACAGGUAUGCCUGUUCGAGCGUCAUUUCAACCCUCAAGUUUUACUUGGUGUUGGGGUAUUAUAUUCUCUAUAAGCCCUGAAAUUUAGUGGCAAGCUGGCUAUAAUUUCCAGUGUAGUAAUUUUCACCUAACUGAAAAAUUUAGUUAUUGUUUAGCCUUAACCCUUCUAUAUCUAUACAAGGUUGACCUCGGAUCAGGUAGGAAUACCCGCUGA